UCUCCGUUGGUGAACCAGCGGAGGGAUCAUUACCGAGUUAUCAACUCCCAAACACCUCUGAAAAUACCCAACGUUAACGCGGCUGGACCGCCCCGGCGCCCUGGGCUUCCCGGCACCAGGCGCCCGCCGGAGGACCCCAACUCUUGUCUAAACCAUAGCGGCAUAUUCUUAGUCUCACAAAAAAAAUGAAACAAAACUUUCAACAACAGAUCGCUUUGCUCUGACAUCGAUGAAGAACGCAGCAGGACGUAAGAACACCUGUGUUAACUCCAGUAACUU
rnacentral:misc_RNA from 1 species